CCUGAGGCCAGUUUGUUGGGGAGCUGCUGUUCCCCUCUCUGUGCCCUGGUGUGGAGCUGGUGGCGGGAGAAUGGGAAUUCUUAUCUUGGGAAGAAAGACAGUGUGUGGGGCAACAGUGGGUGCCGGGUGCUUUGAAGAUCUGGUUCAUAGCAAAUAUUCGUUCGUUUAAUCCACCACACCGAGGCACACUUUCCAGAAAUGAAAUGCACACGUUUGAGGGGCGGUUGAUGUGUUUUGGUGGGUGCCCUCACCACUCUCACCCCACAAUCGGGAUACAACUAUUUUCUUCACACCAAAAGUUUUCUCAGGCCCCUGGGUGCUAAGCCUGUGCGCUGUCAGCCCCCCGCAGCCCUGGGUCUAUUCCGCCAGGCAGGUGGGCCUUGUCUUGUGUAGGACUUUGUGGACGUGGCCCACACAUGGGAUCUGGGCUGUGGCUCCUCCACUCGGCUCUCGGGAGCCACCGUGGUGCUCGGUGUGUGUCGUGGGUGGAUCUGUUCCUUCGAAGCGCCGUGCCCUCUGCACAGACGUGCCACCACGAGGGUGCGUUCUCCUGCUGAGGGACAUGCGAGCUACAUUGCAUCUUCACCACGACCUGUAAGCUGCUACCCAUAUUUUUGCAUAAGUGCAGGUAGGAACACAUUCUUAUUUUUCUUGGAGAAGCAACGGGAAGUGGGAUGGGUGGGUUGUAGGUGACACACGCCGUCUAACUGCCCAGGAAGCUGCCAAGUUGUUCUCCAAGCAACUGCUCCACUUGACAUUCCCGCCAGCAGAGCACGCGUGUUCCGUGAGAGCUGAGCUCAUUGAUGGGAGGCACCUUCCUUUGCUAAACAGGCAUUUUCCACCACGUACAUCCUGCCCUUCUCGCCCUCCUCUCCCAAGACCCUGAGUGUGAGACGGGUCCCGCCAGCCCCGAGACCCUGAGUGUGAGACGGGUCCCGCCAGCCCCGAGACCCUGAGUGUGAGACGGGUCCCGCCAGCCCCAAGACCCUGAGUGUGUGACGGGUCCCGCCAGCCCCGAGACCCUGAGUGUGUGACGGCUCCCGCCAGUCCCGAGACCCCACGUGCAUGUGGCCACAUGUGUGACAGGUCCCGCCAGUCCCUCGGGCUCCAUCCCUCGUUCGAAGAGGACAUGGGGUGCUUUGCCUCAGUGGAUGGAGGAGACCCACACCCGUGUGUUUCCCGGGCAGAUGGAGCGCUCAGCACUGGGCACUGUGCCCAGUGGUUUCACUGUCGGAUAAACAUGUUUCCAAAAGCAUCUUUACCCCGUUACAUCCAAUUCCCCAUGAUUUGU
rnacentral:lncRNA from 1 species